rnacentral:lncRNA from 1 species
GGUGCGGCUAGCGUUGUUUGUGGCGGCGGUAGGCGUAGCAGUAGGAGAUAUGAAGCGGCGAAAAAUUCACAAAUCGACAGCAAGCCGGGGGCUCAGAUCCGGCGUGCAAUCCCCAAAAAAUCCAGGGAAGAGAGCAGCGAGUCGGAGCGGCGCCUCCUCCUCCGAUGGCCCCCGCUUCGGCAGAUUCACCUGUUACCACGGGGAGGAGGAGAAGCGAUGGCACCCUCCGGCCAACGAAAUCCUCCGGUCCAUACAGAAGCUGUACGACGAGGCGGCGCGGCGGCUGCCCUUGGACGAGAUCCCGGAGCUCGUCGACUGCCUCGGCGAGGUCGGACACUGCUUCGGCCUCGCCGACCCCGUCAGCAACAUCAUCCUCAACGCCAUCGCCCACCUCUCCGGAUCACCGCCCCUCCAACUCCAAGACCACCCACCGCCGCUCCCCCGGAAGAGGACCCGCAGGAGCUACAGCGAGUGGUGGGGGUUCAUCUCAUCCACCUCUCUCAACGGCCUCAUCGCCUUCAUGAAGGUCUAUUUCCGCUACCUCACCGGCGACCAGGCCAGGCGCUACCUCUACCUCGCCUCCUACGACCUCCUCCUCGCCAUCAAGUUGGUCCACCAUGACCGCCAUCUCCCACUCCCGCCAUCCCCCCUCCUCCCCGACGGUGGCAAGAUGAAGAACGCCCUCCGGAUCGCCGCGCUCAAAGCAGGCCACCCCGCGCCCGACGACCUGGCGCGCACCAUGACCGCGCAGUACCCCUCUCAUCUACUCUCCCCUAUCGUCCACAAGCUUCAGGGGUCGGACCUGCUCACCACCCAUGACGUCCAGUCCAUCAAGGACCUGCUCCUCAACGCAUUCCAAUGGCCCCCGCCCAACAUGGACUUCUUGUGCUGCCCAAAUGGCGAGUCUUGUGCUCAAGCCGCCCCCGACCGUUUUGCUGGAAUCUCACCAAAUCAUGUUCAAUUUCAGAAACUCCUAUACAUCUCGGAUCUUACGAUAGAUAGCGCAGCCAUAGAGACAAAGCUAUCAAAAUGCGUAGCGAAAGUGCUUGGUGGUUGUGAAGAACAUGGACAUGUGAACUAUGAUGCCUCCCCGCCAUGUGAGCACAUAUUGUCCCUGAACAUGUGCCUCCUCGACACCAUCCAUUGCUUCUACAUCAGGGCACUUGCCGUGCUGCCCCUGCCCGUAUCCGAUGACUCCAUGCGCCGCGGACGCCUCCUCCGCGCAAUCCUCAUGUCUGGACAAUGCUUCGGCCCCUUGGAUCCCGUAUCAAACAUCAUCAUCAACACCCUCUGGUACGACGCCGCAUACCCUCCCCUGUAUCCAAAGGAUGGCGGUGGCGGCGAUUGUGAGGUUGAGUUGCCGCAGGAUAUCUCUGACACCCAAGCCAUGUCUCGCAUUGCAUCCCGUUCCCUCAACGGCCUUGUCGCCCUACUCCGUGCCAUCACCACCACCACCACUGGCUGCUCGCUCUCCAAGCAUGAGGCCGUGGAGUACCUUUGGUCCAGGCAGUGUGACCUCACUGACAAGCUACAGCAGACGGUGAUGACGAACAAGAACCCCUACUCUGCUGCAGCCAAGGCUUCAGAGCACCCGCAGCACACCAUGCUUGGGUCAUUCCUCAUGUCCCUCUGCGGCGAGAAGCUUGAUCGCCUGCGGCACUUGCUGAGAUCCAUUAGUGAUGGCUCCGGCUGUGUAAUCUCCAACGCUGAUUGGGAGCAGCUUAACGCAAUGAUCCAAGAGCAGCUAACCACGAUGAUUGGCAGAAAAAGACUGCCUCCAUUUGAUACACAAGCUUUAGCAGCAUUAUCGAGGAGAAGGUCAGACUAUGUGAACCGGCAAAGGUUUGUUCGCAGCAAGCUGGAAGAAUUGCUAGUCACAUACUCCAGACAGCAUCCUUGGGAACCAAGAUAUAAGCUUGACCUCAUAUGUGGAGUGGAGGAACCUCAAUCCCACUACUGGAGAUGCUACCAUGCUAACUUCUUGGCAAGCACCCAUGGCACUGUGCUCAAACUAAAUCGUGAGGCAACCACAACACCAAACCCUAAGCGCACACUCUUCUUUGCUCAAUUCUGGGACUCACAACCUGGUCGAUUUAAUGAAUCAAACUCGAAGCCCAUCUGCUGCCCUGUUCAAGAUAGCACAUGUUUUGGUCUUUGCACCACUUGUGAGGGCAAUGCAAGUACAAUUUUGCACCCACCAUCUGGAUAUCUUUUUGAGGAUGAUGUUGAUGACGCCAUUGAAGUUUAUGAUGUUAAUGCUGCUAUUGAUGUGUUUGGUUCUGCUUCGUGCAGUCUUAGUAAAGAUAAAGAUAAAGGCCUGCUAGAGUCAGAUUUCAUAUAUUUUGAUCAUGGAAGGAAUGCAAAUCUUACAAAGAUUCUGAAUGACGACUCUAUUUUAUGAUGAAGACAAUGGUGAUGAUAUAGCUCUGCUGUUAGAUUUGGAGGGGAUUUAUUGACAUAUAUUGAGGUGUGGAAUUAUUUAUCCUCGAACCCCUCCAAUCCCUCUGAACAAGGCUUAAUAUGGAUGAGGAGGGGAUCAUUAUUCAGGUUACAAGUUUGUCUAGUCAUUGUAAUAACAGAAGAAUCUAUAUUUGCUUUUGGACAAUGAGUCGCAACACUGUAUAUUUGUAUAUUUGCUGUAACUAGCAAUGGGGCCGUGCUUUACUA